UAGCAGAGAAUCACCAACUUUUCCUUUGGUUGUUAAUGUUUCACCAUCACAGUUUAUAAAGGGGACUGUCACUUUAUCUUCUGAGCUGCUUCGCGCCCCUGCCGACACGCUCAGCGGCCGUCUCGCCUCCGCGCUCCGGCCCGGUCCCCGGCUCCUCAGCAGGCCGCUGGCUCCAGCGCGGGACCCGGCGUGGUGCAGCCACCGGCCGGCCGGGUCGCCGAGGACCGCAGAAGCGGCGCGCAGCAGCCGGGCGCCCCCAGCGGCAGCCAUCGCCCGCGGUCGGGAACUCAAAAGGAAUUAUUUAAAGAUAGUUUUAACCUUGUGACAUUUCUCAUUUGCGUUGUUGUAUACCUAGCCUAUACUAUUUGUAGAAUACUUGGCAUAAAUGUACAUAUGUCAUAAGCAUUGAAGUUUUUUGUUACAUCUGGGAUUUUCUGGCUUGAGUGGGAUGUGAAUUCAUAAAUGUGAUGGUUUUGUGGGGGAACUGAGAGAACUUGGCAAAAACAGGUUACUUACUGAUCCUCUCUGGAUAUUUAAGUGUGGUAAUUCAUUCUUAUCACUCAAUAAAGUAUAGGCAUUAUA
rnacentral:sRNA from 1 species